rnacentral:lncRNA from 1 species
UCGCGCUUAACGUGCUAGAUAUAGCCAGGAAAGCGGACAUUUUUCGUCUAGUUUCGUGGAUAUAGCCAGAAUUUAACGAGGACCUGAUAAGAGUGUAAGGUAGCAAUAGAAGUAGAAG